UGGUCUUCAGAGCUUUCCAAACUGCAGCAAAUGCUUUUCUUGCCCAGAGAAUAAGCAGCAUUAACUCCAUAAGUGCUCUGUGUGAAGCAACAGGAGCUGAUGUAGAAGAGGUAGCAACAGCGAUUGGAAUGGACCAGAGAAUUGGAAACAAGUUUCUAAAAGCCAGUGUUGGUUUGGUGGGAGCUGUUUCCAAAAGGAUGUUCUGAAUUUGGUUUAUCUCUGUGAGGCUCUGAAUUUGCCAGAAGUAGCUCGUUAUUGGCAGCAGUCAUAGACAUGAAUGACUACCAGAGGAGGAGGUUUGCUUCCCGGAUCAUAGAUAGUCUGUUUAAUACAGUAACUGAUAAGAAGAUAGCUAUUUUGGGAUUUGCAUUCAAAAAGGACACUGGUGAUACAAAGAAUCUUCUAGUAUAUAUAUUAGCAAAUAUUUGAUGGAUGAAGGUGCACAUCUACAUAUAUAUGAUCCAAAAGUACCUAGGGAACAAAUAGUUGUGGAUCUUUCUCAUCCAGGUGUUUCAGAGGA
rnacentral:lncRNA from 1 species